GGGGGGGGGGGGGGGCGGGCGUGACGCGUGGGAGUCGGGCGGGAAGGCCCUGCUUGUGGGGGGUGCUCGAGUGGCGAACGGGUGAGUAACACGUGAGUAACCUGCCCUUGACUUUGGGAUAACUUCAGGAAACUGGGGCUAAUACCGGGUAGGAGCUCCUGCUGCAUGGUGGGGGUUGGCAAGUUUGGGCGGUUGGGGAUGGACUCGCGGCUUAUCAGCUUGUUGGUGGGGUAGUGGCUUACCAAGGCUUUGACGGGUAGCCGGCCUGAGAGGGUGACCGGCAACAUUGGGACUGAGAUACGGCCCAGACUCCUACGGGAGGCAGCAGUGGGGAAUAUUGCACAAUGGGCGGAAGCCUGAUGCAGCAACGCCGCGUGCGGGAUGACGGCCUUCGGGUUGUAAACCGCUUUCGCCUGUGACGAAGCGUGAGUGACGGUAAUGGGUAAAGAAGCACCGGCUAACUACGUG
rnacentral:rRNA from 1 species